rnacentral:rRNA from 1 species
GACGAACGCUGGCGGCGUGCUUAACACAUGCAAGUCGAACGAAGAGCGAUGGAAGCUUGCUUCUAUCAAUCUUAGUGGCGAACGGGUGAGUAACGCGUAAUCAACCUGCCCUUCAGAGGGGGACAACAGUUGGAAACGACUGCUAAUGCCGCAUACGAUCUGACCUCGGCAUCGAGGAUAGAUGAAAGGUGGCCUCUAUUUAUAAGCUAUCACUGAAGGAGGGGAUUGCGUCUGAUUAGCUAGUUGGAGGGGUAACGGCCCACCAAGGCGAUGAUCAGUAGCCGGUCUGAGAGGAUGAACGGCCACAUUGGGACUGAGACACGGCCCAGACUCCUACGGGAGGCAGCAGUGGGGAAUCUUCCGCAAUGGACGAAAGUCUGAAGGAGCAACGCCGCGUGAGUGAUGACGGCCGUCGGGUUGGAAAGCUCUGUUAAUCGGGACGAAAGGCCUUCUUGCGAAUAGUUAGAAGGAUUGACGGUACCGGAAUAGAAAGCCACGGCUAACUACGUG